UAUUUAAAUAUAUAAACAACAAAAAGAAACAAAAAAAAAGAAUGUUUUUUUUUUUUUUGGAAAUCUCUCUACCUCUCUCUGUUUAUAUAUUCCAAAGGGGAACAG
rnacentral:ribozyme from 13 species